UGGGGAAUCUUGCGCAAUGGGCGAAAGCCUGACGCAGCGACGCCGCGUGGGUGAUGAGGGCCUUCGGGUUGUAAAGCCCUGUGGGGAGAGACGAAUAAGUCGGAGCCAACACCUCCGGCGAUGACGGUAUCUCCUUAGCAAGCACCGGCUAACUCUGUG
rnacentral:rRNA from 1 species